ACCCUAUAGAAAAGUCUCUUCUGGUUCUUUCCCAACUCCAUUUGAAAAGUCCCUAAAGCCAGCAUUUUGCUGAAAAGGGCGGGUAAAGGCACACAUUAUAGUCUUAAGACUUCCAUAGGGGCUCCCACGACCUUAGAAAGUAGCAUUUUGAGAGAUUUCCCCUCUUGCCUGCUGUGUCAGCACUUUUGGUAGGAAAUGUAGGCAAGGAGGAGGCAGGCUUGGGGAGAGCCAUGGACCACCUAUCUCUUCCUACUAGACUCUGGUAGCUCUUACGGAACACAUGGGGGAAGAAAGGCUUUCUUUGUGAAGAGGAGACCAGGAUUUAGAUGGACCAGCCACAAAUAAACCCCUAAAACCAAAAAACAAGCUACACUCAUGGCCAGCCCUCCACCGAAAGGGGUACCGCUGGAUUCAGAGUACCUCUUUCCUCAUCGGGCUGGCUCAUCCCUGGGUGUCGGGAGGAACAAGACUGGCAGUUAAGUGUUUGACUACAAGAAGAUCAGUGAACCACUGGGAGAGUUGAGCAGACCACACCCAUCUUGGUGACAUCAAACGCUGCAUGUUCACGUGAAUAUAGGAUCUUUAUUUAAGUGCCUACGGUGUUGAAGUUCCAUCAAGGAUUUGGAAGGUCACUGUCCCACCACUCCUGCCAGUCAGUGAUGAGUGGCUGGCAGCCGGAUCCGUGGUGUUCAUACAUAAGGCAGGAGAAUAGAGAAUCCAGCUUUUCCAGAUGGUUCAGCUGCAGUUCUGGGACCCUCGAGUCCCGGCUCCAAGGCUGAGAGGAUGUACAGCUUCGAGGUGGCCAGCUUCCUAGAGUCACCACUGUGCUUCAGUCCAUGGUGAGAGGACAGUCACCGGCUCCAGUUCACAACCCGCCCCUCUGGCUAAUGGCAGAAGGAUGAGAGAAGCCAGCCGAAAAGGUGAAAUUAAUGGAUCCCAGGAGCACAGCACACCUCAGAUGCUGGCUUAGGGCUGAAAGAACCAGUGUCAAGUCAGGCUCCUGAGCCAGGGUGGAUCUUCCCACCUACCGCCAUCACCACAACCCCAGUCAGAACUGGAGAACCUGACAGUGGUGGAGCUGGCCAAGACCUGAAGAAGCUGAAAUGAUUUGGGAGAACAAAAAUGUCAGGAUUCUCCCAGGUAUAUCUGAAGGUCCUGAGGGGUGUGUGUGUGUGUGUGUGUGUGUGUUGGCAAACAUACACAUAUAUAGAGGCAGAAAUGAAGCUUGGCUAUUAUGCCUCUGGAGCCAACCCACUUUUCUGUGACCAGGUGUCUUCAUUGGAACCCGCUCAUUAGGCUAGGCUGGCUGGACAGUCAACCCCAAGGAUCUAGCUGCCUCUCGUGCUAAGAUUCCAGUUGUGGGCUACCAGACUAGUUUUGCUUUAAUGUGAGCACUAGGGACCAAACUCAUGCCCCCCGCUUGUGAGGUGAUCAGGUUGUCACCCCAUAAGCUAUCUCCCCAGCCCAGCUUUUUAAAACUCUUGAUCUCCCAAUUGUGGCUUUACUAUUAUCUACAGUUGUUUUAGAAAAUUCUUUGAAAUCGAUGUUCCCAUCUUCAUCUCUUAGGAAGGCAGAAAACCCCUCAAGACAAGGGUGGAAAGAGAAUUUCAAAGGGUCAUCCGAGGGCCGGCUAAGGUGACUCUUUUUUCUGGCAGCUGAGAACGAGCGUGACAGUGACAUUCCAGGCAGACGCUGGACAUGGAGGGUGAAGCCAGAGUUCCAUAAAUAACAUUGGUUUGGGUCUUAUCACCUCAGGUGAGAGACGGUGCCCAGACCUUGACAGCCCAGGCUGCAGCUGACCAGCUUCCCCACAGGACGCUGACAAGCCAGCGAAGUUUUACCUGAAAGAGAAGGAAGGAGGAGAAUCAUCACUUCUGCCAGAGCACUGAAGCCACCCCUUAGGCCGGCCACACUGUCACUCUGUCCCCUUCCCCACUCCUGCUGUGUGAGCAGUCUUGUUCAUCACCAUUGUGGUCUCUACAGUCCUGAAGAAGGGACUUUCUUCAAUCAUGGAGCUUUUGAAAACCGAGCUGUCUGCAAGGCACAUUCCAUUCUUCGUGUAACUGUCCUUUGGCUCACACACAAGGCUUCCAGGAUCCCUCCCUCUCACACACAGCCCCCGCCUCUCUUAGAACACAUGCUCUUUUUCCCUCAAGUCCCUCUUUCCUAGUCCUCCUACAAGUUUUCAGGCCAAAGCAUCCAAAGGUAACUAUUUUAAAACCUUGUAGAGCCUGCAGUCUCUGUGUCAACUAUGAACCCUGUUGUCAUGACAAAAAAAAAAAAAAAAGCCAGACACAGCACAGAACGUCUGAGGAUGGCUGUGUUCAAACUUGAUGAUCUGUCAUCAACUUUUAUGCAUCCUGAAAUAUCCUUUUGGUUCUCUUUUCAAACAUUAAAAUGCAGAAAUCAGGGUUAGGCGUGCUGGCACAGACCUACAAUCCCAGCAGUUGGGAGGGGAAGGCAAGAAGACUGAGUGUGAGUGAAGCCCGGGUUGAGCAGGUGAGACUGGGGCGCACAUAAACCAAAGGUAGGGCUUGCACUCGGCUCUCAAGCUACUUUUACAGUCUGGGAGCCACAGUGUCUCCCCUUCCGCCCACUGAAUUAGCAGGAUAGGCGCUGUUGUGAGGUGAGGCCUGGUGGAAGACCUCCAGGUCAAGAGUGGGAAUUAUAGGACUCCAAUCUCCCCCUCCCUUUUGUUCCCUGGCUCAGAGGCUUUGUUCUACCACACCUGCUGAGAUGGGUUGCCUUACCAUAGCAGGGCAAACCAACCAGCGACUGAAACCUCUGAUCCUGUGAGCCAAAAUAAAUCUUGAAGAUGUCUUGGGUGUUUUGUUAUAGUAAUUUUGACCUGGUGAGUGCACCGGCCACACUUUGAAGAGUUGGGUCUAUGUAAGCAUAUGACCGCUGUCUCUCUCCUGCUAAGACUGGCUGCAUAGGCAGGAUCCAUGUGUGAGCCUGCUCAUCUAGAACUCCAGCUCUAACACAGGGCUGACAACACCAGGGACACAAGAGAGAUUUUUACCAUGGGUGAAAGGUUACAGCUGCAUCGUAGGAGCUUAGGAGGGGGCAGGGGAAUAGAUAGACCUGUUAAAGUUACCUCCUCCAUUAGUAUUGGAUUGUGAACUUUACAUAACCAUACUUGAAAAACCAAAACAUAUCUAAGGACUGCUGAUGGUGUCAGAGAGCAAACAAUGGGAGCCGAUCUCCACAGCUACACCAAAACAAAAUGUCCACAAAUGACAGCCAGUGACAGUGGCCUGUGGACCCCAGGAAGAGCUGAUGGAUGAACACCAUCACAGCACUGGAAUACAAUUUGAACAACCAACGUGUGGCACAGUCGCCUGCCUGGGUGUUUAAGUGCAGUUGCCCAGGUGGCCCCUCAUCUUACAAGUGUCACAGAAGCACAGGAA
rnacentral:lncRNA from 1 species